GUGGGGAAUAUUGGACAAUGGGGGGAACCCUGAUCCAGCCAUGCCGCGUGUGUGAAGAAGGCCUUUUGGUUGUAAAGCACUUUAAGCGAGGAGGAGGCUACCGAGAUUAAUACUCUUGGAUAGUGGACGUUACUCGUAGAAUAAGCACCGGCUAACUCUGUGCCAGCAGCCGCGGUAAUACAGAGGGUGCAAGCGUUAAUCGGAUUUACUGGGCGUAAAGCGCGCGUAGGUGGCCAAUUAAGUCAAAUGUGAAAUCCCCGAGCUUAACUUGGGAAUUGCAUUCGAUACUGGUUGGCUAGAGUAUGGGAGAGGAUGGUAGAAUUCCAGGUGUAGCGGUGAAAUGCGUAGAGAUCUGGAGGAAUACCGAUGGCGAAGGCAGCCAUCUGGCCUAAUACUGACACUGAGGUGCGAAAGCGUGGGGAGCAAACAGGAUUAGAAACCCGAGUAGUCC
rnacentral:rRNA from 1 species